rnacentral:rRNA from 1 species
UACGGAGGGGACAAGCGUUGUUCGGAAUUACUGGGCGUAAAGUGCAUGUAGGCGGCUUUGUAAGUCAGAGGUGAAAUCCCGGGGCUCAACCUCGGAACUGCCUUUGAUACUGCAAAUCUCGAGUCCGGAAGAGGUGAGUGGAAUUCCUAGUGUAGAGGUGAAAUUCGUAGAUAUUAGGAAGAACACCAGUGGCGAAGGCGGCUCACUGGUCCGGUACUGACGCUGAGGUGCGAAAGCGUGGGGAGCAAACAGG